GUCUCUGUGGCACAAUGCAUAGCGCAUUGGACUUCUACAUUAGAUAUUGGAGCUAUUCAAAGGUUGUAGGUUCAAGUCCCUCAAGAGUCA